GGAGGAAAAGAAACUAACAAGGAUUCCCCUAGUAACGGCGAGUGAAGCGGGAAGAGCUCAAAUUUGAAAUCUGGCAGUCUUCGAUUGUCCGAGUUGUAAUCUAUAGAGGCGUUUUCCGUGCCGGACCGUGUCCAAGUCUCCUGGAAAGGAGUAUCAAAGAGGGUGAUAAUCCCGUACUUAACACGACCACCGGUGCUCUGUGAUACGUCUUCUACGAGUCGAGUUGUUUGGGAAUGCAGCUCAAAAUGGGUGGUGAAUUCCAUCUAAAGCUAAAUAUUGGCGAGAGACCGAUAGCGAACAAGUACCGUGAGGGAAAGAUGAAAAGCACUUUGGAAAGAGAGUUAAACAGUACGUGAAAUUGUUGAAAGGGAAACGAUUGAAGUCAGUCGUGUUCUUUGGAUUCAGCCAGUUCUGCUGGUCUACUUCCUUGGAACGGGUCAACAUCAGUUUUGUCCGGUGGAUAAAGGUAGUAGGAAUGUGACUUCUCCGGAAGUGUUAUAGCCUAUUAUCACAUACACUGGGUGAGACUGAGGACUGCAGCUCGCCUUUAUGGCCGGCCUUCGGGCACGUUCGAGCUUAGGAUGUUGACAUAAUGGCUUUAAACGACCC
rnacentral:rRNA from 1 species